AUUUACUGUUCUGGAUUUUACCAAAAUACCCUUUGAUUAUCUUAGUCUAAAUUAAUAUUCUUGGGCAAAAAAAUGUCUUUUCUUGACCAUAUAAUAUUUUCAGUGGGCCAACGUUAACAUAAACCACAUUGUAUCCAAACCCCUACCGCCUUUAUCUCCUCUUCCCCAAUAUUUCUUGAAACCCUAAUUUGUUCUGCAAAAAGCCUGCUCUUCUUCUGCAGACAUGAAAGAUUUCACACGCUACCCUUUAUCUUUUCUUUCUUCACACACAAUCCUACCAUAUCUCUUCACAAGUUUUAUACUUCUCCAUCUCUCUCCACAACUGCUUGUCUUUUCCAACCAACAACAAAUACCUCUUCCAAUAAUCUCAAACUCAAAGAUCUUUUGAGAAAUUGAAGGACAUCAAUGAAAGUAAGGAGCUCUGAAAAAUUGUCGUCAUAAUCCAUCACAAAUGGAUAGUUUUAUCAAAGACCAAAGAGCACUUCGAAUUGAUUUUGGUUGAUAAAGAGGUUUGUUUGUUGUUUUUCGGUUUCCCCUUUAAUUUUAGGGUUUCGUUUCAUAUGCUGCUGUUUGUGUUUGAUUCCAAUUUUUAUAUUUAGUGUUUAGUUCUACUUCUACUUCCUCUGUUAUAAUUUUGAAUGCCUGUUCAUCGAUGGCUGUUUUUCUGUUUUCACUUUCAUUUGACGGUUUCGUUUCGUAUUCUGGUGUUGGUGUUUGAUUAGCAUUUUUUAGGCUUCAUUCGUUUGUUUGCGUUUGAUAUUACAUGGUUUCCAUCAAUGUUAAUUUGUUACUAACUUUUCUGCUUAUCGACGAAGUGCAUUAAUCUGUUUGCUUACCUUCUAAGCCUAUUGUAAGUUUCCUAGAUCUCUGUGAUUGAAGCUUGUGUUAUUUUGUGUUAUUCUUUACAUAACUAUUUCUGCUACAAGCUAGAAGAUUCAAUACUUUUGUGGGUGAAUCUAUUUUAUAAACUGAAUUCUAUCGACUAUCACUAUAGUGUGAGUGUGAUUUAUCCAUGGUGAGAUGAGGUUGUCUAGAAAGUGACAUUUGACAAUCAAUGUUGGUGCAUAAGCAAGAUGUGGAACAACUCUAGACAUGGUGUUGUAGUUGUUAGAUACAUCGCACUCAAACGAUUUAAAACACUUUUUAAAAAAGUAUAACAUACUUUAGAUGCUAAGGAAUCAGGAAAAUGGGGUUAUGACCAGGCUGGUUGUAGCUGUUUGUGACUACCCCUAUUGUGUUUUUCUGGGAUAGCUCAAGACAAUCCGUGAAGGGUUACAAGAAAUUGUUGGAUUAUUCCCUUGCAAUCAGGUACUUUAUUAGAGAUUAUUCAGACUCUUCUAGGACUAGAACAAAUGCUAAUGGAUGAAAUCAUGAUUUUAGGCUGUAACACUCUCACAAUUGUAUUAAAACUGAUUGUCUCAAACUAUAUUGGAAAAAGAAGGAACUAGAAUUUGAAUAACUAUCAAAGUUGAAAAAUAUAUGAAGGUGAAAGUUAAGGGAAAAGAAGGGAGAGCUUCAAAAAAACAGUGUCCCUACUUAAAAGCUCUUGCUUUCUGUAAAAAUGAGAGGUAUACUGGCACAGAGGAAUACAUUAGGUGGUGAUAGUCUUUCAGAUCUAAUAUGGCUUCAUGUGAAUAAAUUUUCACUUUCAUUGCAACUUGAGGUAUUCUCUCAUGGGAAAGUAGUAUACUAUUUUUUUCUUUGUUUCAGAUCAUGUUAUGUCAUUCACGUGGUUUCUACUUUAUUGGUUUAAACUAUCUAUUAUUCAUAAGGUUUCUUUCUUUCUAAUUUAUAUCACUUAUGUUGGUGGCUUUAAUCAAAUAAAGACCAUAGCUACCAUAAAUUAAUGAUAUACUUUUCUUUCUAAUGUAACUUCCUGGAAGUGGUUUAGUUGUAAUAUCAUAUUUUAUUCAAUAAAGCUAAAUUGAUUUUCAUGACUUAUCAAAUGAUAUCCAAAUAGUGAAACUCAAUUGUAUAUGUAUAAUUUGUUACAAUCCCAAUCUCACUAUAUACUAAUUCUUUUUGAUACCAUGAUCCAUUUACUAACUUGAUUAAUGUUUGGGUAUGUUACUUGAAGUUCCUAGAUAUAUGUAGUUGAUAAGGAUAUCCUUACUUGCAGCAGAAACUGAGAAAGGAUUCAAGGUCAUCGGUGAUGAGUCCACGUGCAUCGUUUCGACUCUCAACAUUGGCGAAAGUCUUUCGGUGAAAACUUUUUUUAACAUUGGUAAUUACUGUCAUUUAUUCAGCAAGACUUCAAUCUUACUGUACUUGAAAUUAAACACAACCUGAAAUUACUGUCACCGUAAUCACUGUUCUCUCUUGGUGAACAUAUGGUAGGCUUUCUCAAUUCCAAAAAUUUAAUUCAUAACAUUAACUUUAUAUUAGUUAUUAGUAAAAUAUGAGGUUGGUUUUCUCCACUUAACAUUGAGUGUAAGCUUGUCUCGGUUUUAGCCGUAUUUACUCGUAUGGCAACGAAUGAGGACACUUUUACCACACACAUACAUACAGCUUCAACUAUAGUUUAUGAACUACAAAUAUUGCUUUAUCACUGUGUUUAUUUAGCCAAACAGUUUCUUUUCUUA